GACGAACGCUGGCGGCGUGCCUAAUACAUGCAAGUUGAGCGCUGAAGGUUGGUACUUGUACCAACUGGAUGAGCAGCGAACGGGUGAGUAACGCGUGGGGAAUCUGCCUUUGAGCGGGGGACAACAUUUGGAAACGAAUGCUAAUACCGCAUAAAAACUUUAAACACAAGUUUUAAGUUUGAAAGAUGCAAUUGCAUCACUCAAAGAUGAUCCCGCGUUGUAUUAGCUAGUUGGUGAGGUAAAGGCUCACCAAGGCGAUGAUACAUAGCCGACCUGAGAGGCUGCUAGGCCAAGUUGGGCUGAGAACACGGCCCACCACACUACGAGAGGCAGACGGCGGGAAUCUUCGGGGAUGGCAGAAAGGCUGACCGAGGAACGCUGGGUGAGUGACGAAGGUUGUCGGGUCGUAAAACUGAGGUAGUAGAGAAGAUCGUAGGUGAGAGUGGAAAGCGCAUCUAGUGACGGUACCUACCCAGAAAGGGACGGCUAACUCCGUG
rnacentral:rRNA from 1 species